UACGAAGGUCCCAAGCGUUAUCCGGAUUUAUUGGGUUUAAAGGGCUCGUAGGUGGCCAACUAAGUCAGACGUGAAAUCCCUCGGCUUAACCGGGGAACUGCGUCUGAUACUGGAUGGCUUGAGUGUGGGAGAGGGAUGCGGAAUUCCAGGUGUAGCGGUGAAAUGCGUAGAUAUCUGGAGGAACACCGGUGGCGAAGGCGGCAUCCUGGACCAUUACUGACACUGAAUAGCGAAAGCGUGGGGAGCGAACAGG
rnacentral:rRNA from 1 species